rnacentral:rRNA from 1 species
CAGUAGCCGCGGUAAUACGUAGGGUGCAAGCGUUAAUCGGAAUUACUGGGCGUAAAGCGUGCGCAGGCGGUUAUAUAAGACAGAUGUGAAAUCCCCGGGCUCAACCUGGGAACUGCAUUUGUGACUGUAUAGCUAGAGUACGGCAGAGGGGGAUGGAAUUCCGCGUGUAGCUGUGAAAUGCGUAGAUAUGCGGAGGAACACCGAUGGCGAAGGCAAUCCCCUGGGCCUGUACUGACGCUCAUGCACGAAAGCGUGGGGAGCAAACAGGAUUAGAUACCCCAGUAGUCCCUGUCUCUUAUAC